rnacentral:lncRNA from 1 species
AUAUUUAUAAUUUUAUGUAUUAUAAUAUACUUUUAUGAAAUAAUUGAACGACGUGGUCAACGCGUGCAAUUCUAAUAGUUAUUAUUAUUUCUUUCAAUUUUUCAAUUGUUACUAUCAAUUUCACUAAUAUCUUAUAAUCUUUUACAUCAUAGUAUACUUUUAUGAAAUAAUCAAAAAAUAUGUCAACAUGUGAUCUAUUCUCACUAUUAUAUCAAUUAAUUACAUAAUUUAUAUAUUAAAUUUUGAUCAAUUCGAUAUAAUCUUAUGAUUUUAAAGUCAAGUGUCGUGUUGAGCACUUAGGGUUGUAUAUCUGGUAUUGGAUGUCAUACGCCGUACAUCCGUUGCCAUGGCGUCGGGUGACCCUUACUUGGAGUCAUGCAUCUGCGCUCCUUGUCGGGUGUCAUCCACUCGGCACAAGAUGUUAGGGCGCCCGCUCAUUUUGCUGAGGAUUGGACAUAUUUUAUUCAUAUAUAUAGGAAAAAAGUAAUUUCUACAUAAUAUACACAAUAUCAAUACCUAUAUACUCCUUCCGUCAAUGAAAGAACUUCCUAGGAGAGAGUGGCACGGGUAUUUAGAAAAAAUAUUGUUGAGUGUAUUGAGAGUGGAUAAAAGGUAGUUGAGUGCAUUGAGAGUGAUAAAAAUGUGUUAUAAUUAAUAUUGAGAGUUGUGAAAAGUGAAAAGUGAAAAGGGAUUAUAAGUGGUGGGGUAUAGUCCAAAAAUAAGUAGGAAAUUUUUUUGUGGACGUCCCAAAAAGGAAAGAUAAGAAGUUCUUUCGUGGACGGAGGGAGCAUUAUAUAUUUACAAUAUUUUAGAAUUAAACUAAAUUUAAUGUAAUUAUCUUAAAUUUGUAGUUUUAAUAAAUAAAUAAGUAAUAAUUAUUACUUUCAUAAUUUAAAAAGCUAAAAAAAUAUUGAUUCAAAAAAUUAUAUAGAAAUGAAAAAAAUAUACCAAAACUUGUAUGAAACUUAAAAUAUCUAAAAGAAAAUAGAAAAAAAAGGAAACUAAGAAAAUAGGAAAUAAAAAGAGAAAAUGGUGGGGGUGUCGAAAAAUUCAGUCAAAGCAAUAACAUUUGAAAUAAAAAAUAAAAUUUAAAAUAAUUAAAAAUAGUAUAUGUUUGAAUCAAUCUCAAACUUUAAACGAUC